UGGUAUUGGAAAUAUGCCCACAUCAUGACA
rnacentral:piRNA from 1 species